rnacentral:rRNA from 1 species
GGCACUGACUGCUAUCGGAUUGAUACUAAGCCAUGCGAGUCAUUGUAGUAAUACAAGGCAGACGGCUCAGUAACGCGUAGUCAACCUAACCUAUGGACGGGAAUAACCUCGGGAAACUGAGUAUAAUGCCCGAUAGAACAUUAUGCCUGGAAUGGUUUAUGUUCCAAAUGAUUUAUCGCCGUAGGAUGGGACUGCGGCCUAUCAGUUUGUUGGUGAGGUAAUGGCCCACCAAGACUAUUACAGGUACGGGCUCUGAGAGGAGUGGCCCGGAGAUGGGUACUGAGACACGGACCCAGGCCCUAUGGGGCGCAGCAGGCGAGAAAACUUUGCAAUGUGCGAAAGCACGACAAGGUUAAUCCGAGUGGUUUCUGCUAAAGGAACCUUUUGUCAGUCCUAGAAACACUGAUGAAUAAGGGGUGGGCAAGUUCUGGUGUCAGCCGCCGCGGUAAAACCAGCACCUCAAGUGGUCAGGAUGAUUAUUGGGCCUAAAGCAUCCGUAGCCUGCUCUAUAAGUUUUCGGUUAAAUCUGUACGCUUAACGUACAGGCUGCCGGGAAUACUGUAGAGCUAGGGAGUGGGAGAGGUAGAC